rnacentral:rRNA from 1 species
GAUGAACGCUAGCGGCAGGCCUAAUACAUGCAAGUCGAACGGUGUAGCAAUACACAGUGGCGCACGGGUGCGUAACACGUAUGCAACCUACCUUACAUUGGGGGAUAGCCUUUCGAAAGGGAGAUUAAUACCGCAUAAGACAGUAACUAGGCAUCUAGUAGCUGUUAAAGAUUUAUCGAUGUAAGCUGGGCAUGCGUCCAAUUAGUUAGUUGGCGAGGUAAUGGCUCACCAAGACGAUGAUUGGUAGGGGAGCUGAGAGGUCAAUCCCCCACACUGGCACUGAGAUACGGGCCAGACUCCUACGGGAGGCAGCAGUAGGGAAUAUUGGGCAAUGGGCGCAAGCCUGACCCAGCCAUGCCGCGUGCAGGAAGAAGGCGUUAUGCGUUGUAAACUGCUUUCAUACAGGAAGAAACGACCCUUGCGAGGGGCAUUGACGGUACUGUAUGAAUAAGCACCGGCUAACUACGUGCCAGCAGCCGCGGUAAGAC